GUGGGGAAUCUUCCGCAAUGGACGAAAGUCUGACGGAGCAACGCCGCGUGAGUGAAGAAGGUUUUCGGAUCGUAAAGCUCUUUCGUUAGGGACGAACGUGCUCUUUGUGAAUAAUGAGGAGUAAUGACGGUACCUAAAUAAGAAGCCACGGCUAACUACGUGCCAGCAGCCGCGGUAAUACGUAGGUGGCAAGCGUGGUCCGGAAUUAUUGGGCGUAAAGCGCGCGCAGGCGGGAUAUCAAGUCUGUCUUAAAAGUGCGAGGCUCAACCUCGUGAGGGGACAGAAACUGGUAUUCUUGAGUGUCGGAGAGGAAAGUGGAAUUCCAAGUGUAGCGGUGAAAUGCGUAGAGAUUUGGAAGAACACCAGUGGCGAAGGCGACUUUCUGGACGAUGUCUGACGCUGAGGCGCGAAAGCUAGGGGAGCGAACGGGAUUAGAAACCCUAGUAGUCC
rnacentral:rRNA from 1 species